AUGACUGAAACAGAAGAAAGCAAACAAAACACUGAAAGUGAAAGAGCUGCUGUGUUUUCUAACAUGUCGGAGGAAGUUCAAGGGACUUUCCGUUUACUUCAGCUGUGAAGAAAGUCUGCCGUCGUCCCUGCAGACACUCUGACUUCACUCUGUUCAGAGCAGAGCUGUGAGCAACUGUGACCACUCGAGCUACUCAAGCUGGCGCGGGUGCGAGUGUUUUUCCACUGCACAGCACGGCAAGGUUAAAGAAGCAGUUUGCCUCGAUGACGCGUUGGAGGUGCAUGAACGUCUAACGUCUCCCUGCGGCUGUUUCUUCUUGAACUAUAACACCCUGAGCCACUCACCAGUUCGUACAUGAAAUCUGGGUCAGAGCUGGUGGCGAGCAGCUCAGUGCUGGUCAGGGCCUGGUCAGCAAACGAGUAGUUCUGAAAGGCGUCCCCAAAGGGAGGCUCCAUCCCACUGACGCUGGGCUGCAACACAACAGAACACCGAGGGGGUGAAACGGAAGUAAACAACAUCAUCAUCAUCAUCAUCACCACCAAAGGCAGAAUAUCAUGUUUAAUUGACGAUUUCAGAUGUCAGACACUGUCCAUUCGUCCCGGCCUGUUUGGAGGACGCCCGUCCACCUGUGUGUCGCUCACAGUCCAGUUCCCCUCGUUCUGUCGUCCCUCUUACCUGAGGCAUCGCCAGGCACAGCUUAGAGGUC